GCGAAAGUAGUUCAGUGGUAGAAUGUCUCCUUCCCAAGGAGAAGGUCGCGGGUUCGAAUCCCGUCUUUCGCUCCA
rnacentral:tRNA from 1 species